GAUUGUAGGCUGCAACUCGCCUACAUGAAGUCGGAAUUGCUAGUAAUCGCGGAUCAGCAUGCCGCGGUGAAUACGUUCCCGGGCCUUGUACACACCGCCCGUCACACCAUGGGAGUCGGUAACACCCGAAGCCUGUAGUCUAACCGCAAGGAGGACGCAAUCGAAGGUGGGGAUUGAUGACUGGGGGUGAAGUCGUAACAAGGUAUC
rnacentral:rRNA from 1 species